UACGGAGGGUGCGAGCGUUAAUCGGAAUUACUGGGCGUAAAGGGCGCGUAGGCGGUGAAGUCAGUCGGGUGUGAAAGCCCCGGGCUCAACCUGGGAACUGCAUCCGAUACUGCUUCGCUAGAGUAUGGUAGAGGGAAGCGGAAUUCCGGGUGUAGCGGUGAAAUGCGUAGAUAUCCGGAGGAACACCAGUGGCGAAGGCGGCUCACUGGCUCGGUACUGACGCUGAGGUGCGAAAGCGUGGGGAGCAAACAGGAUUAGAAACCCUGUAGU
rnacentral:rRNA from 1 species